rfam:Triticum aestivum genome assembly, contig: Triticum_aestivum_CS42_TGACv1_scaffold_594147_7BS
AAAGUACUUCCUCCGUCUCAAAAUUCUUGUCUUAGAUUUGUCUAGAUACGGAUGUAUCAGUAUUAGAUACAUAUGUAUUUAGACAAAUCUAAGACAAGAAUUUUGGAACGGAGGGAGUACCUC